UCAGGCGAACAUUGACAUCGAAGUGAUACCCUAUGAUAUCAAGAAAAAUCCUAUGGAACAAAGAAGCAGAUAAUGACCACAGAAGUGCAACAAAGAGCACCAGGACCUGAUCAUCAAAUGUUAUGGUGUAGAUCUAAUCAGGAACAAGACACCUAAGUUGAACUCUGGCAAGGUUGUCCAGAAGGUUUGAUACCCAGGCUUCUUUUGUUCAAGUCCCUAGUCCACCCUCAUCUUGAGAACUGUUCCGGUGUCUGGGAUCCCUACAACAUCUCAGAUGUCCAGGACGCUUCUUUACAAUGGGGACCACAAGAGAAGCAGCAGUUUGACUGAGAUGAUCAGCACCUUUUAGUUGCCUACUAUAUCUACAACUACAAGGCACUCUGCAAGAAGACUGGGAAUGGUGCGCAAGAUAGUCAAUGGUCUCUCCGCUCUUCCUUGAACAUUUUCCCACUGCACUACUUAUAGCUAUUUGCGCCCUCUAUAUAGCAAACAAUGCCUAAUCUGUGCCUGUUGGUCCCCCAUGAUCCUCUUUUUCUUAUAUUAAUUGAGAGCUGAUUUGAUGAGAUAACCACCUGUCAGUGACCUUGCAGGGUGGUCUUAUCCCCCUGGCCAAACUAGUACAGACGGGCUUUAACAAAUCACGAGCAGGAAGUACCAUGACAUGACCCUCCA